rnacentral:lncRNA from 1 species
AGCUAGUGCACGAUGACAUCGGAUCGUCCUGGUUUUUGGCUUCCUGAAAUCAAAAUAACUUAUUUUACUUGAAAAUUGCUGUGAAGAUUCCUUUAUUCAAACGCUAUAAAACUAGGCAAAGCAAUUAAAAAAAAAGAACUGUGGCCUUUCCACCUGUACAAAAAUGAAGUGGUUUAGUAUAGCUCUUACACCUGCCCUUUUUAAUCAAAUUGGAUCGGCUGCCGGAAAAACUAAGUGAUUUUUUU